rnacentral:rRNA from 1 species
AACAAGGUCUCCGUUGGUGAACCAGCGGAGGGAUCAUUACCGAGUUUACAACUCCCAAACCCCUGUGAACAUACCUAUACGUUGCCUCGGCGGAUCAGCCCGCGCCCCGUAAAACGGGACGGCCCGCCCGAGGACCCCUAAACUCUGUUUUUAGUGGAACUUCUGAGUAAAACAAACAAAUAAAUCAAAACUUUCAACAACGGAUCUCUUGGUUCUGGCAUCGAUGAAGAACGCAGCAAAAUGCGAUAAGUAAUGUGAAUUGCAGAAUUCAGUGAAUCAUCGAAUCUUUGAACGCACAUUGCGCCCGCCAGUAUUCUGGCGGGCAUGCCUGUUCGAGCGUCAUUUCAACCCUCAAGCUCAGCUUGGUGUUGGGACUCGCGGUAACCCGCGUUCCCCAAAUCGAUUGGCGGUCACGUCGAGCUUCCAUAGCGUAGUAAUCAUACACCUCGUUACUGGUAAUCGUCGCGGCCACGCCGUAAAACCCCAACUUCUGAAUGUGACCUCGA